ACGUAGGGGGCAAGCGUUAUCCGGAUUUACUGGGCGUAAAGCGCACGUAGGCGGCGCUGUAAGUUGGGCGUGAAAGCUCUCGGCUUAACUGGGAGAGGUCGUUCAAUACUGCAGUGCUUGAGGUUGACAGAGGAGAGUGGAAUUCCCGGUGUAGUGGUGGAAUGCGUAGAUAUCGGGAGGAACACCAGUGGCGAAAGCGGCUCUCUAGGUCACACCUGACGUUGAGGUGCGAAAGCGUGGGUAGCGAACGG
rnacentral:rRNA from 1 species